rnacentral:rRNA from 1 species
UAGAUACCCUGGUAGUCCACGCCCUAAACGAUGAUAACUCGAUGUUGGCGAUAGACAGCCAGCGUCCCAGCGAAAGCGUUAAGUUAUCCACCUGGGGAGUACGCCCGCAAGGGUGAAACUCAAAGGAAUUGACGGGGGCCCGCACAAGCGGAGGAGCAUGUGGUUUAAUUCGAUGAUACGCGAGGAACCUUACCCGGGCUUGAAAGUUAGUGAAGAGUGCAGAGACGCACUCGUCCUUCGGGACACGAAA